ACAGGGAUUGCCCUAGUAACGGCGAGUGAAGCGGCAACAGCUCAAAUUUGAAAUCUGGCGUCUUCGGCGUCCGAGUUGUAAUUUGCAGAGGGCGCUUUGGCAUCGGCAGCGGUCCAAGUUCCUUGGAACAGGACGUCACAGAGGGUGAGAAUCCCGUACGUGGUCGCUAGCCUUUACCGUGUAAAGCCCCUUCGACGAGUCGAGUUGUUUGGGAAUGCAGCUCUAAAUGGGAGGUAAAUUUCUUCUAAAGCUAAAUACUGGCCAGAGACCGAUAGCGCACAAGUAGAGUGAUCGAAAGAUGAAAAGCACUUUGGAAAGAGAGUUAAAAAGCACGUGAAAUUGUUGAAAGGGAAGCGCUUGCAGCCAGACUUGCCUGUAGUUGCUCAUCCGGGUUUCUACCCGGUGCACUCUUCUAUAGGCAGGCCAGCAUCAGUUUGGGCGGUUGGAUAAAGGUCUCUGUCAUGUACCUCUCUUCGGGGAGAACUUAUAGGGGAGACGACAUGCAACCAGCCUGGACUGAGGUCCGCGCAUCUGCUAGGAUGCUGGCGUAAUGGCUGUAAGCGGCCCGUCUUGAAACACGGACCAAGGAGUCUAACAUCUAUGCGAGUGUUUGGGUGUCAAGCCCGAGCGCGUAAUGAAAGUGAACGGAGGUGGGAACCUUUCGGGGUGCACCAUCGACCGAUCCUGAUGUCUUCGGAUGGAUUUGAGUAAGAGCAUAGCUGUUGGGACCCGAAAGAUGGUGAACUAUGCUUGAAUAGGGUGAAGCCAGAGGAAACUCUGGUGGAGGCUCGCAGCGGUUCUGACGUGCAAAUCGAUCGUCAAAUUUGGGCAUAGGGCGAAAGACUAAUCGA
rnacentral:rRNA from 1 species